CAGGUGGGUGUGGGAUGAUGUCACAGGUGAGGCAAGUACAAGAUAGAAGGAGGCCUGUCAUUGGACAAGAAGGAAGGGUGGGCGGGAGAAAAGUUUGAAGGAAGAGGAGGAGACUGGAACCGGAAAGAGGAAGAGACAGGAAGGAGAGAGAGGGGGCAGUCAUGGCGGAGAGAAAAUGGAAACUGACGUUAAGAGUCCCUCUGUGUACUUACAGGGAGCAAGUGAAGUCUUGCAUUGUCCUGACCCACAGGGCAGUCAGCGGUGGUUGGGGACUACCUAGGAGAGAACAGAAGACAAGAAGCUAGAAGAAAGAUACCAAAACAGGAUUCUGAUCAAGGCAACAAAUUUUAUUUUUUCCCAAGGCUGAAUUUAUACCAUAGCAGGGGUAACAGAGGGAGGGGGGAAGCAGGAAAUAUUUAUGCAGGCCAAGGACACUGUGCUCUUGUGGUCAGGCAAUUGGCUGACAUCAACAGGAUGUCAGAAAGGUCACAAGUUUGUCAUAUCAUUAGGCAACCUGACUACCAGAUUUGUAUUAACCUUCUGCAGCUGGCUGGGGAUUUUCCAUCGUCCUGACCUCUUAAUGAUCCCAGUCAUACUUAACUCUAACUAUAAUAUUAACAUCAAUGAUGGAGGGUUUUAAGGGCAUAGCUCCCAAUAUUGCAUGGCAUGGUGGUUUGAGUAAGAGUGGUCCCCAUAGAUUCAUGUUGAAUGCUUGUCCACAGGGAGUGGCACUAUUAGGAGGUGUGGCCUUGAUUGAGUAGGUGUGGCCUUGUUGAAGGAAGGAUAUCAUUGUGGGGGCAGGCUUUAAGGUCUUAUAUGUUCAAGUUGUGCCUAGUGCGGGACAUAGUCUCCUUUCCAUGCCUGCAGAUAAAGACAUAGAACUCGCAGCCCCUCCAGCACCAAGUCUGCCUAUACACUGCCGUGCUUUCCACCAUGAUGAUAAUGAACUAACCCUCUGAAACUAUAAGCCAGUCUUAAUGGAAUGUUGUCCUUUAUAAGAGUUGCUGUGGCGAUGGUGUCUCUUCCCAGCAAUAGAGCACAAGAUAUUUGUAGAACACUGCUACCUACUGAGGCUUCUUUUACCAAGAUGAGCUGAACUGGCCUGUUAUCAGUUGUAUAGAAUAACCUCAACUGCACUAAAGAAACACAGCAAGCUCCUGUACCACGGCACCUUCAUCUGAAAGCCCAGCCUACCUGAUCCCAAUUCUUCUGUUUCUGUCACCUCGCCGUUCUCUUGUUAGCCCUACUCAGGGGUCUGAGAGCCAUGCUGUGCAAGGACACACACGUGUUGGUUUUAUCUGGUUUUAUUUUUGGGGCAACAAUGACUUUGUAAAAAAGACGUUGGUAGCAUUUUUCCUGUUUUUGCUGUUGGAUUAAGCCGGUGAGUUUAGAAUAACUUUUUAUAGCAAUAAUAACUCAUUUGGUGUUGUGCAAGACGCUCAUCCAGUACUUGCAGAUGGGAUGGACUGUGAGCUCGUUUCAGCUUAGAGCCUUUAGGGUGGUUUAUCCCCCUUACAUUCACGCCACUGGGCUUAGCUUGCAACCGUGCUUGAGCGACCUCGCCCUUUUCUCCUUUGCCUAAUUUAGUGUCCACUGGACACCCCAGUGUCUCCAGCUAUUUGAGAGGGCCCAGGGCUUGCUUUGGAGAGAUAGCACCCUGUUAUAGAUUCUGUCACUUAUAUUUUAACAUUGUUUAAGCAUUGAGGGUAUAGAGUUUUAUCAGUAUUUUAAAAAUGGCAUCAUACAUAAACAGCAUGUGAGUGUAUUAUAUCUUAUGCCUAUAUACACAUAUGCAUAUAUACAUGUGUUCUUCUAUAGGGAGACAUGUACUUACAUUAUCAAAAUGUAUGCCUAUAAAUCAAACAUUCCCCUUGGCUUAUCAUUGUAGUUUGUGUCAUGGUAAAUCUAUUGUCGUUGAAGAUAGUGUAAACAGAAAUGUUUCUGAUGCCACUAACCUAUCUAAUAUUUCAGUGACACAGCACGCUGUCAAUUGUCUACUGAUAUGGUGGCAUGGCGACUGUGAGCUUCGUCAUUAAAGAGUAACGCACUGCUUAUUGGUCUUGGGAAAGAGUCUAAUUCAAGACUAGAACCCUAAUUUCUUCUGCACAUGUAUCAUUUUCACACUGUGGUAAAGCGAAGACACUGUAUGUUGAACCACAUCAGUUGGCAUCUAUCUGUAAUCUACACGUGGGGUUCAUUUUAUAGAAGCCUGUUAUUUCCCAAGGCCAGCACAGACGACACAAUUCAUUUCAAGGGACAGACGAACACUACUGAACCAACAUCCAUCCUGCCACUGUCUUCUUGGUUAACCUUUGGUAUUAAUAUAGAAGAAUAACAAGAGGCUCCCGUAUCCCAAGGGUGUCACCUCCAUGGGAAACUAUUGGUUUGGGCUUAAUUUUUCUGGCCAAUAGGCAACUAUGCAUAUGUAUUUAAUACUUUUUACAGUGCUAAGUACCCUGGAAGAAUUGAAGACUAACUCUGUGGCCCCAGUACAACCUAGCAUACGCGGAUGCCAUUUCUCAGAAAAACACUUUAAUUCGUCCUGAGAAUUUGACUUUGCCCCUUGCUGUACUUGCAGAGAUCCGUGUUGUUCUCCUGUGACAUGUUUUCCUUUUACACAAGGGUGUAGUUUUAUGAACAGCAACAUUCCCCAGUAGACUCUGAGCACCCUGGGUGCAGAAGCACCUUAUUUAUAAAACAUGCUUGGUAUUCUGUGCAAGUACUGAGAUACAGUAGAAUUCAGCCAACCCCUUUUUGGCAUUAAAGGAAUGGGUCUUUUGGUUCUUAGAGUCUGGUCAUUGGGGUAAGCAGCUGAAAAGCAAGUUAGAAAUGGAGGCUUGCUGGGUCUGUUUUGAGUGCUUGUGGAUAAUUUCCAUGGUUCCUUGCAGUAAGUCUCUAAUGAGGACCCAGAGGAGAGAGAGGUUCCAGUCUGGCCUGAUCAUUGGAAUGGCGCUGUACUUGGUGAUCUGUUUCUUUUCCUAUGUAGGCACUGAGAACUUCUUGAUCAUUCCUCUUUCCUUUUUCACGUUGGGGCUACAGACACAGAUUCAAUGUGGCCUCUCACACAACAGACAUAUAUGGAUGUAUAGAAUUAAUUUGUACAUCAAACUCCUGUCCUGAAUCAAUCUCUUUACACUCUUACUUUGCACCCUGGGGCUUUUUUGUCUGCGGAUUAAUUGUUUUAGUAUGAAACUUUGAAGUAUAGUCUGCAAAAUUUUCAUACUUUUCCAUGAUCAUUCUUUAAAAGUAUUUUAUUUAAUAUUCAUACACAGAUAUAGUGUGUUUCAUUAGGAAUCUGCAUGUUCAUAUGCUAAGGUCCUUGUCUCCAAUUGGAUUUUGAUUGAUCAAUAAAGAUGCCAUCUGCCAAUGGCUAGGUGGAAAGAAAGAGGUGGGACUUUCAGGUUUUCACAGGCUAGGAGAGAGGAGAGAGAUCAGGAAGAAGAGAAUCGAGAUACUUGGGGGAGAGAAGGAACAGACUCAGAGCUGCAGGGAGAUCUUCCAUAAUAUAGGCAGAAAAGAAAAGCAGCCCACAGAAGGGCAACCCAAAAGUGUCUUGGGUAGCAAGACCAGUGGACUUCGCAGAAGGUAACUGGGCGACUAAGCUGAGGGCAGAUUUAGAGUUGUUGAGCUAGGAGUAAAGGGAAGGGCACAUUAGCCAAGGGAGGCUUGGAAGAGCCCAGCCACUGAGCCGGUAAGGCAGGUUAAAAAUGAGCUAGCGUGUGUCUGUCUUUCAUCUGCAGAUCUGAGAGAGCUCCUGGGCGGUACGUGCAUGCAACCAGCUGGGCCCACAAAGCAGGACAGUAAGGUUGGGGAUUCCUCCGACCGUCCUUUUGAUUACACAGGAGGGUUUUAUCUCUCCUGUUUCUAUCCCUCGAUGUUUCCUUAGCAGGCAUACACAUUUCCUGCUUGUUCUACAACUCAUCAACGGACUCAGCUGAGGUUGCCCAAGGCAUUUAAUACCGAGUUUAGAAGACCUAGAUAGACAAUUUGGUCUUUGUCUUUCCUUUGGACUAAUUAGUAGUACUGAUUAACUUCUGUUUCAGUGUUGUUGUUGAACCCAGGGCCUCUUAUAUGCUAGGACUUUACUUUACCACCGAGCACCACAUUUUCUGUCCAUUGGUAGCACCACGUUUUCUUAUUAGCUUAAAUUUUUAUACAAAGACUAACUCAUAGGGCGGGAGAGAGGGCUCCGAGGUUAACAGCACUGGCUGCUCUUCCAGAGGUCCUUGGUUUGAUUCUUAGCACUCAUAUGAGUGAUGACUGAAAACGAUCUAUAACUCCAGUUUCAAGACAUCUGAUGCCCUCUUUGUUUAGAAUCAUCCUGUUGGUGAGACUUUACAUGUGUUGCUUCUGACAUUACUAGAAGACACAAUCUCAUAGCAAACUCCCUGAUUCUCUGGCUCCCACAGUCUUUCUGCCCCCUCUUCUAUCCCUCAUGUUCAUUGAGCAUUAGGUUUGGGUGUUGUUUAGUCCACUGAGACAAGGCUCCACAAUGUGGACAUGUCAAUGAGCAGAUGUUUAUAAAUUGUUGUUAGAAAUAUGCUGGUUUAGUGAAAUAGUAGUUGUAGAUUCUCUUCCAAGACCCUUGACUUUGGUUCUGGUUAGUUGGAGAGGUUUCCAAUAAUGGGCAUAAUUUCCCUCUUGAAGAACGGGUCUUAAAUUCAGAUAGGGAGCUGUUGGUUAUCAUCAGGUGUAUGUGCCACUGCUGCACCCUUAGGGUUACUGUGCCAUGCAGAUCAUUGCUGUGUUUCAUAGCUAUAAUAGCUUGGUAGGACUCUUGGCUCCUUUUGAAGUUUGCAUGGUGCAUUCUGGUCCCAUGAAAACUAGUCUCAGGGAGGAGGGUUCCAAGUCAGUUCCCACUCAUGGGCUUUUUGGCCCUGUUUCUGAAGUACAUGGUGUCUUCAGCAAUGGGGACUUAACUCUGUCCACUCUGGGGCAACCAGGGGCAAUAGAAAUAGCAUGUAAUGUUUUGGGAGUCUCUUGAUCAGUCUAGACUAACACCAUGGAAGAUGGUUCCUCAUAUUUGAGGUUGGGCUUUGCUAGAUAGUCUUUGGCUCUUAGAGGGAGCAGUGCCAGCCCAGAUGAGAAAAUUUCAUUUAAAUUAGAAAUGUACACUUAUACACAUACUUAUGUGUAUUCUAGUUUUCUUUAGGUGACUAGCUAAGAGCUUGGUUCUUUACGCCUUUGUCGUAAUCCUUAGUAUAAUUUUACCCUCCUCCAUCCUUCUUCUGUGUUUAUCUCUCUCGCCCUCCUGAAUUAGAACCCGUUUCCCCCUUGCCAUGGUCAGAUCACAUGCACUCCGCUAUGCCCCUCUCUAUUGCUCUACCACCCUCCAUUCACUCACUGUUCUCUUUUUAUUUCUCUGGUUGCUGCAGUUGCUCUCUCUGGGGCUGGGCUACCUCACUCUGUCUGAUUUUUUUUUCUAGUUCCAUCUAUUUACUGGAAUAGACCAUGGAGACGUGUCAUCGUGUUGUGUGAUGAUUCAAUUGUCUCAGAGAUGACCCGUUUAAACGUCUCCAAGUGAAUUUCAUUUGUCUGAAUUUUGACAUGGCUCCAGGGAUCUUUGAGAGAUGGUCCAGUAAUAGUUUCCAGGCUUGCUCUAUGCUUUAUUGACCUAGAUCUAAAGCAGUUACUUCUCCAGGGGAUUCUGAUCACUUUCAGUGGGCAACACGAUUUAGGGACCACUAAUGGAGGAUUGGAUGUUAACCUCUUACCUAAGAACAUGGGAGUGGGACGGACUGAGCUGUAGACAUCACUGUAUGGAUGUUAAGUGUGCUCAUUGCUUCUGAGAUGGAGGGAUUAAUUUCCUGAAAGUCUGUCCAGUGAAAGGAGGCACAAACUUCAUUUUUGAGACUGGGUCUUAUUAUGGAGCUCAGGCUGAAACUGGACUCACAAACCCGUAUCUCCAGAGUGAUGCAUUACAGGCCUGCAUCGUGAUACCCAGGAUGCUUCAUAGUUUUCAUUGGCAAAACACUUUACAAUGGUAUAACGAUACACUUCCAAUUAAAAUUUAU